CGUGAGCUUAAUGAGUUCAUUCACGCAUGAAUAGAUUUAGUCUUAAGUUGCUUCAUUGAUUGAUUAAGUUCUGAUUUCAUGGUUGAUUCCAAGUUUAUUCUUAAAAGACUUUUGAGACUUGAGUAACGAACCUUUCAACUGAGCAAGCAAAUUCUUGUAUGAAUGAAUGGUGAUGUGUUUCUAGGUGGCUCGAACACAAUCAAGUAUAAAAUUGGAGGUGGUGUGAUAACACCAAAAAUAUGCUAUGACACCUAUGUAUGUAGGUAGGGAUGUAUGCAUCUUUUCUCUCUAUGAGUAAUUCUUUGUAGUCAUCCCCUCUCUUCCAUUGGAACUUCCAUUCAUCAUUUAUUCACUCAUUUGGAUGAUGCUUAGUGGUUAGAGGUUAGUUUUGUAGCAUGGCCGGUUUGAUAAUUUUCCCCUUUUUAGUUGAAUUGUGGGACUUGGUCUACAUUGUACAUUGUUUGAACUUCUUUGUUUAUGAGUUUUGAAUUUGAUUCUAUUGAAUGAAGUGUAAUUUCAUGUUUAGAUUGACAAAUUUUAAUUGAAAUUUGUACUUCAAUGCUUUGAUUUAUCCCUGAUUAAGGUAAUAAAACUUAGCAAGCAAAUAGUUAAAUUAACUUGCUUGGUAUUGGUGUUGAGUUAAUAUUAAAUGAGAUAAUUAGAUAGUCAAAAUUAAUCCGUUCAUCCUAGUGUUUCCUAAAGCAUAUUACGAUUAGUUAAUGCGUAUGGUGCCAGUUGGUCAAUCGAUGUUUAGCCAAUUAGGUAAUAAGGAUGGUUGAUUAAGGUCCUAAUUAAUUUGGCUAGACUUGAGGAAAUAAACUUGAUCUAGAGUUCAAUGAUCAAUUGACUAAUUGGAGAAGCAUAACAUCAAAUCCAAGCUAGGCCUUUCUACUACUUAAUUUCUCUAGUCUCUUUCUAGAUCUCAUUUAGGCUUCAUGCAAAUUUACUUUCAUUUGCAACUAUUAAAUAACAACCCCCUCUUUGGUUACCGUGCUAGAAGCAUUUUAAUCGAGAAAUGUGUGGCUCGUGUGAUUUUGACUCGUGCUUCUUUAUACUACCAAGUAGGUAUUCGCUCUCUGAAGAAAAGAUACCACUCUAAGAGGAGUCUCACAAACGAAGCCAAAGUGGAAGUUACUAAUAUUUACUACCCUCAGGAGUAGUCUAAGUACGUGGAAGAUGGAGGGAUCUCACACUUACUGACAACCUAAGUAUGAUUGGCAGGGAGCGUAGGUGAUCAGUGAAUUGAGUUAUUGAUGCAAUUAUAAACAGUGCAAACAUACAGUCAUUAACUAUCUUACUAUUGGCUGUUAUUUCUGUUUUUAACCGUUCUUUGUUAGUAGCUGUUAUUACUGUUUUAUCUGUUAGUAGCUGUUAUUUUCGUUUUCAACUGUUCUUUGUUAGUAGCUGUUUCUUCUGUUAGUAGCUGUUGGUAACUGUUAACCAACACUCACAGCUAUAAAUAAUCAUUCUCCUAUUGAGAAUGGGAGGAUAGAAUUCUUGAAUAAAAAAGAGAG
rnacentral:lncRNA from 1 species